GAGUUUGAUCCUGGCUCAGAGUGAACGCUGGCGGUAGGCCUAACACAUGCAAGUCGAACGGCAGCACAGAGGAGCUUGCUCCUUGGGUGGCGAGUGGCGGACGGGUGAGGAAUACAUCGGAAUCUACUUUUUCGUGGGGGAUAACGUAGGGAAACUUACGCUAAUACCGCAUACGACCUACGGGUGAAAGCAGGGGAUCUUCGGACCUUGCGCGAUUGAAUGAGCCGAUGUCGGAUUAGCUAGUUGGCGGGGUAAAGGCCCACCAAGGCGACGAUCCGUAGCUGGUCUGAGAGGAUGAUCAGCCACACUGGAACUGAGACACGGUCCAGACUCCUACGGGAGGCAGCAGUGGGGAAUAUUGGACAAUGGGCGCAGCCUGAUCCAGCCAUACCGCGUGGGUGAAGAAGGCCUUCGGGUUGUAAAGCCCUUUUGUUGGGAAAGAAAUCCAGCUGGCUAAUACCCGGUUGGGAUGACGGUACCCAAAGAAUAAGCACCGGCUAACUUCGUGCCAGCAGCCGCGGUAAUACGAAGGGUGCAAGCGUUACUCGGAAUUACUGGACGUAAAGCGUGCGUAGGUGGUCGUUUAAGUCCGUUGUGAAAGCCCUGGGCUCAACCUGGGAACUGCAGUGGAUACUGGGCGACUAGAGUGUGGUAGAGGGUAGCGGAAUUCCUGGUGUAGCAGUGAAAUGCGUGAGAUCAGGAGGAACAUCCAUGGCGAAGGCAGCUACCUGGACCAACACUGACACUGAGGCACGAAAGCGUGGGAGCAAACAGGAUUAGAUACCCUGGUAGUCCACGCCCUAAACGAUGCGAAC
rnacentral:rRNA from 1 species